AAGACGUCGCGUGCACUGGGAGCUGCUUCAUCUUUGCAAUAUAUCUCUCUCUCUCUCAAAUCCAAUCCUCAUCUUUGUCCCCAAGUCGGAAUCUGAGCAUCUCCUUUCUGCCGAUGCCGCGAUACAAGAACCAUCGGAGAGGAGACAGAGUGGGGUGAUUCAGUCGAGUUCGACGGGGGUGGUGUGAAAGGCCUUUAUUUGGGUAGAAAUUCAACGACUUAGUAUUGAAUCUGGAGUGAGGAUGUCUGUGUUGCAGAGCCUUUGAUGGGAGAAAAAAUUCAACGCCUUGGACUGAAUCUUGCAUCAGACCCAAUGUGAUCCUUUCUCCAUCAAACCCAUGUAAUUUUCGUUUUAUGGAGGAUUUGUUUUCUUCCAUGUAUGAGGUUAUGGAUUUGUGCUUCAAAAUAAGAACUCUGGUCAUGAUGAAUCCAAUUGGAGUUUUCGGGCUUGUUAGUGGAGAACUGAG